AUUGAACGCUGGCGGCAGGCCUAACACAUGCAAGUCGAGCGGAGCGGCGGACGGGUGAGUAAUGCCUAGGAAUCUGCCUGGUAGUGGGGGACAACGUCCGGAAACGGGAGCUAAUACAGCAUACUAUCAGAGCAGCCUAGGGCGGAUUAGCUAGUUGGUGGGGUAAAGGCCUACCAAGGCGACGAUCCGUAACCGUUCUGAGGGGAUGAUCAGUCACACUGGAACUGAGACACGGUCCAGACUCCUACGGGAGGCAGCAGUGGGGAAUAUUGGACAAUGGGCGAAAUCCUGAUCCAGCCAUGCCGCGUGUGUGAAGAAGGUCUUCGGAUUGUAAAGCACUUUAAGUUGGGAGGCGUUACCAACAGAAUAAGCACCGGCUAACUUCGUGCCAGCAGCCGCGGUAAUUC
rnacentral:rRNA from 1 species